rnacentral:rRNA from 1 species
GAUGAACGCUGGCGGCGUGCCUAAUACAUGCAAGUCGAGCGAACGGACGAGAAGCUUGCUUCUCUGAUGUUAGCGGCGGACGGGUGAGUAACACGUGGAUAACCUACCUAUAAGACUGGGAUAACUUCGGGAAACCGGAGCUAAUACCGGAUGAUAUUUUGAACCGCAUGGUUCAAAAGUGAAAGACGGUCUUGCUGUCACUUAUAGAUGGAUCCGCGCUGCAUUAGCUAGUUGGUAAGGUAACGGCUUACCAAGGCAACGAUGCAUAGCCGACCUGAGAGGGUGAUCGGCCACACUGGAACUGAGACACGGUCCAGACUCCUACGGGAGGCAGCAGUAGGGAAUCUUCCGCAAUGGGCGAAAGCCUGACGGAGCAACGCCGCGUGAGUGAUGAAGGUCUUCGGAUCGUAAAACUCUGUUAUUAGGGAAGAACAUAUGUGUAAGUAACUGUGCACAUCUUGACGGUACCUAAUCAGAAAGCCACGGCUAACUACGUGCCAGCAGCCGCGGUAAUACGUAGGUGGCAAGCGUUAUCCGGAAUUACUGGGCGUAAAGCGCGCGUAGGCGGUUUUUUAAGUCUGAUGUGAAAGCCCACGGCUCAACCGUGGAGGGUCAUUGGAAACUGGAAAACUUGAGUGCAGAAGAGGAAAGUGGAAUUCCAUGUGUAGCGGUGAAAUGCGCAGAGAUAUGGAGGAACACCAGUGGCGAAGGCGACUUUCUGGUCUGUAACUGACGCUGAUGUGCGAAAGCGUGGGGAUCAAACAGGAUUAGAUACCCUGGUAGUCCACGCCGUAAACGAUGAGUGCUAAGUGUUAGGGGGUUUCCGCCCCUUAGUGCUGCAGCUAACGCAUUAAGCACUCCGCCUGGGGAGUACGACCGCAAGGUUGAAACUCAAAGGAAUUGACGGGGACCCGCACAAGCGGUGGAGCAUGUGGUUUAAUUCGAAGCAACGCGAAGAACCUUACCAAAUCUUGACAUCCUUUGACAACUCUAGAGAUAGAGCCUUCCCCUUCGGGGGACAAAGUGACAGGUGGUGCAUGGUUGUCGUCAGCUCGUGUCGUGAGAUGUUGGGUUAAGUCCCGCAACGAGCGCAACCCUUAAGCUUAGUUGCCAUCAUUAAGUUGGGCACUCUAAGUUGACUGCCGGUGACAAACCGGAGGAAGGUGGGGAUGACAUCAAAUCAUCAUGCCCCUUAUGAUUUGGGCUACACACGUGCUACAAUGGACAAUACAAAGGGCAGCGAAACCGCGAGGUCAAGCAAAUCCCAUAAAGUUGUUCUCAGUUCGGAUUGUAGUCUGCAACUCGACUACAUGAAGCUGGAAUCGCUAGUAAUCGUAGAUCAGCAUGCUACGGUGAAUACGUUCCCGGGUCU